CAGGCUUAACACAUGCAAGUCGAGGGGCAUCAGGAAGAAAGCUUGCUUUCUUUGCUGGCGACCGGCGCACGGGUGAGUAACACGUAUCCAACCUGCCCUUUACUCGGGGAUAGCCUUUCGAAAGAAAGAUUAAUACCCGAUAGCAUAAUGAUUCCGCAUGGUUUCAUUAUUAAAGGAUUCCGGUAAAGGAUGGGGAUGCGUUCCAUUAGGUUGUUGGUGAGGUAACGGCCCACCAAGCCUUCGAUGGAUAGGGGUUCUGAGAGGAAGGUCCCCCACAUUGGAACUGAGACACGGUCCAAACUCCUACGGGAGGCAGCAGUGAGGAAUAUUGGUCAAUGGGCGCUAGCCUGAACCAGCCAAGUAGCGUGAAGGAUGAAGGCUCUAUGGGUCGUAAACUUCUUUUAUAUAAGAAUAAAGUGCAGUAUGUAUACUGUUUUGUAUGUAUUAUAUGAAUAAGGAUCGGCUAACUCCGUGCCAGCAGCCGCGGUAAUACGGAGGAUCCGAGCGUUAUCCGGAUUUAUUGGGUUUAAAGGGAGCGUAGGUGGACUGGUAAGUCAGUUGUGAAAGUUUGCGGCUCAACCGUAAAAUUGCAGUUGAUACUGUCAGUCUUGAGUACAGUAGAGGUGGGCGGAAUUCGUGGUGUAGCGGUGAAAUGCUUAGAUAUCACGAAGAACUCCGAUUGCGAAGGCAGCUCACUGGACUGCAACUGACACUGAUGCUCGAAAGUGUGGGUAUCAAACAGGAUUAGAUACCCUGGUAGUCCACACAGUAAACGAUGAAUACUCGCUGUUUGCGAUAUACAGUAAGCGGCCAAGCGAAAGCAUUAAGUAUUCCACCUGGGGAGUACGCCGGCAACGGUGAAACUCAAAGGAAUUGACGGGGGCCCGCACAAGCGGAGGAACAUGUGGUUUAAUUCGAUGAUACGCGAGGAACCUUACCCGGGCUUAAAUUGCAGUGGAAUGAUGUGGAAACAUGUCAGUGAGCAAUCACCGCUGUGAAGGUGCUGCAUGGUUGUCGUCAGCUCGUGCCGUGAGGUGUCGGCUUAAGUGCCAUAACGAGCGCAACCCUUAUCUUUAGUUACUAACAGGUUAUGCUGAGGACUCUAGAGAGACUGCCGUCGUAAGAUGUGAGGAAGGUGGGGAUGACGUCAAAUCAGCACGGCCCUUACGUCCGGGGCUACACACGUGUUACAAUGGGGGGUACAGAAGGCAGCUAGCGGGUGACCGUAUGCUAAUCCCAAAAUCCUCUCUCAGUUCGGAUCGAAGUCUGCAACCCGACUUCGUGAAGCUGGAUUCGCUAGUAAUCGCGCAUCAGCCACGGCGCGGUGAAUACGUUCCCGGGCCUUGUACACACCGCCCGUCAAGCCAUGGGAGCCGGGGGUACCUGAAGUACGUAACCGCAAGGAUCGUCCUAGGGUAAAACUGGUGACUGGGGCUAAGUCAUAAC
rnacentral:rRNA from 1 species